GGCGUCACAAGGGAAACCUACCUUAAAAUGGUAAGACAUUUUUCUGUUUCUAGCUGUCUUUACUUGAGUAGAUGACACGUAUGAGACUCAAGAACUAAGCCUCAUUGUACAUAAAAAUGGGCAUUGUUGUUGGCCAGUGUCCAGUGUCAAUGUGGCUACAUUAAGAUACAGGUCAUGCUUCCAUCACAGCAGAUUAAAUGACAGUGGUGACAAUGAGACCUGCAACAUUUGUCUACUACCCUCCAGUGAAGACAUGUCAAUUCAUUUUAUAUUUUCUUAUGACCAAUCUUACAGGUUUUUAAAGCUAAUUGAAGAAGGGUCCCUAAAUUAAAGUAAAUUGAAGAAAUCCACAAAUCUUCUGGUAAGAUGUGGACUUUGAAACCUUGUGAGAUGAUAAUACUGAAAUUCACUGCUAAGAUUUGAAAAAAACAGUACUACCAUAAAUGAUGUUGUGAUGAUGGGCAAAAUGUUCAACUGCUCUGAAUGGGCUGAAUGAAAGUAGCCUUUCUGAACAUCUGUGUUGGGUAGAUAGAUUCUGUGUAUGCAGACCUGCUGACUGACUCCCCUAAACUGUGGGAAUAUUCUUUGAAUCUGGCAUCAUGUAGAAUUAAAAAUUUUAAUUCUUUGAAACAUAUUUUCUCCCACAGGCUAAGAACUUAGAAGUUGCCAAUGACUGUUGGAAAAGACAGAUAAAAGAGGCAAGUAAUAGCCAUUUAUUUUUACAAUGGUCAUUACCAAGGCUUUUAGAAUGCAGUUUCUCAUUUGCUGUGGACAUGACCAUAAAGAAAAAUUCCCAUUAGGUUUUCCAUAUGCUACUUGAGUAGCACUUAACCUGUUGGGAACAUUUUUUGAGCAAAUCUUUAUCCAGUUGUUACUUUAUAUGUAGAUGGUUCUAGAAUACUGACUACUCAUCCCAUUACUCCCAUGUUCUUAUUAUGCAGGGCUAAAAAUAAAAAGCACAACUGGAUGCCCUUGAGGAAAGGGCUAUUUUCAGAGUGCCUGGAUGGACAGCAAAGAAAUCAAACCAACCACUUAAAUAAAAAUUUAUUGACAAUAAAUAAUUUUAUACAUUAAAAAAGAACCCUUAACACAA
rnacentral:lncRNA from 1 species